UACGAAGGGGGCUAGCGUUGUUCGGAUUUACUGGGCGUAAAGCGCACGUAGGCGGAUCGUUAAGUCGGGGGUGAAAUCCUGGAGCUCAACUCCAGAACUGCCUUCGAUACUGGCGAUCUUGAGUCCGGAAGAGGUGAGUGGAACUCCGUAGUGUAGAGGUGGAAUUCGUAGAUAUUAGGAAGAACACCAGUGGCGAAGGCGGCUCACUGGUCCGGUACUGACGCUGAGGUGCGAAAGCGUGGGGAGCAACAGGG
rnacentral:rRNA from 1 species